CGGACGGGUGAGUAAUGCCUAGGAAUCUGCCUGGUAGUGGGGGACAACGUUUCGAAAGGAAUGCUAAUACCGCAUACGUCCUACGGGAGAAAGCAGGGGACCUUCGGGCCUUGCGCUAUCAGAUGAGCCUAGGUCGGAUUAGCUAGUUGGUGAGGUAAUGGCUCACCAAGGCGACGAUCCGUAACUGGUCUGAGAGGAUGAUCAGUCACACUGGAACUGAGACACGGUCCAGACUCCUACGGGAGGCAGCAGGC
rnacentral:rRNA from 1 species